AUCACUUCUCGGCCUUUUGGUUAAGAUCAUGUGUAGUAUCUGCUCUUAUCAAUCUAACCAGUGUUUUACUCCCUUCAUGGUUUGUGGUGGUGGUUUAGUUGAUAAGUUGUGUCCAACUCCUGUGGCCCCAUGGACUGUAGCCCGUCAGGGCCCUCUGUCC
rnacentral:snRNA from 1 species